GGACCAUGCCUCAGGACUACCUGGCAUGAUGACUCCUUGCUGUCCCCAGUCCACCUGGCCAUGCUGCUGCUCCAGUUUCCACUGUUCUGCCUGCGGCUAUGGAACCCUGACCUGUUCACCGGACGUGCUUGUUGCACCCUCGGCAACUACUAUGAUUAUUAUUAUUUGACCAUGCUGGUCAUUUAUGAACAUUUUAACAUCUUGACCAUGUUCUGUUAUAAUAUCCACCCGGCACAGCCAGAAGAGGACUGGCCACCCCUCAUAGCCUGGUUCCUCUCUAGGAAAAACUCCCUAGGAAAAACUCCCUAGAAAGGCCAAAACCUAGGAAGAAACCUAGAGAGGAA
rnacentral:lncRNA from 1 species